GGUAGAGGGUUGUGUGCUUGCCUGGCUCAUGGUUUUGAUAUUUCUAGCAAAAAAGUAUGAUUUGUUCGCAAUGCACAACGCUUGCUAUGCUGAGUAAUAGCUCACGAAAGCCAGUUUGCGUGAAAAAUCUGCAAAGCAGCCGAAAACCUCCGUAGAAAACGCGUACGUACGAAACUUACGAUACAGAGCAAGAGCUAAACAAAAUGGCGCUUCACAUCUGUGCGUUGAGUCUGGCUGCGCUGGCUGCUGGCUUCACGUACGGCAAUCAAGUUAAAUUAGCAAACUAGCACGGCUACGGAAUUAUGAUUUGUUUGGUAGUAAACAUGUGAAAAUUGGCGUGCAAAGUUCGCUGCUAAAUGCGAAUGUUUACAAGCGGCAUCUGCUUACGGGCGAAAUACACAUACAUGAGGUUUCGUACGAAAAAGUUUGGGAUUGUAUCGUGAUUUGUUAACAAUGUUUUACUUGUUUCAUUGCGCGUUUCGCGUAUUAAUCAUUAGCUUACCCUUUUUGUUUUAAGCGAUGGAUAGUUUACACGAUAUUCCUUGUACGUACUCUGCUGCCUGUACUGCCGAAAUGAUAGUUUACACCUCCGAUCAGCAUACUGACAGUUUUGCGUUCUAAGCGAUUGUAAAACGCUCGCCCAGAAACAUCGGAAACAUGACGAAGCAUUAGAUUGUGGCGCUGCGAAAACUGUUGUAGAAUAGUUUGCUCUUGAGUAAUCGCAUCUUGUUUGAAAUAUGAAUCACAACUAGAAGCUAGAAAUGGUUGGAUCUCAAUGUCAUUGGCUCAGCAGAUCGCAUGGAAGAUUCUCGUUAGGAAUCUAUCGCGCGAUAUGGUUUCCUUUGCUCAUACCGCAGAGCAGGCAUUACGAAUCUGCAGCGUAUGCUAAAUCUUAGAUAAAACUCUAGAUCAUUUCCCUACGUUUCAUUCCUUUCCAUAUGAGUCUCGUUCUCGGUAGUUUAUCUAUUACGUAUGAGACACCGUUUUUGCGUUUAAACUGAUAAAUACGACGUACGAGGAACUUUUUGUUAGUUGGUUUGCUGGUUCUUCAUACGAUUAAAUUCCAACGUUCGAAUUCAGUUCGGUACGAUUUCGCGUACGCUGGAUUGAUUGUUUAGCUACGGGUAAAUUCAAGUCACGGAAGGCUAGAAAUGGAGAAAAAACGCUUGUUGGCUGAUUCUUAAAGAUAAUAAGCCAUUAGACCUUAUUAGUCUCUGCAAGGAGUGUUCACUAUCAUCAUGUUUAUUGCACUCCUCACAGGUGUUACAAAGUUUUAACGUUAAUUUUACCACUGAUGUAAUGAGCUGAUCAUGUGUUAUGAAGUAGGAAAGGAUGACGAUUGGAAAUAUUUUAAGCUAAGAGCACGGAAAGUGCUGAUUAACUAGUGAAAGUCGUAAAAUGGAAAAGGCUGUGAAAUGAAGGGCAGACCAGAAACGAAUUGUUAGAGCCAUACGCAACGCAUUCCGAAAAUUCAGAAAGGAACGCCCGAGGAUGUAGGGACCAGGAAGGAACAUACAGGGAGACGCCGGAAGGGUUAUAGGGCAAGUUAGUGACAGCGAGGUGUAGUCCGGCAGUGCACGACCCGGUUACUCUUCAGCGAUUCCAGGCUUGACAACAGCAUUCAUAAGGUGGCUUUUGGGAAUGCGCAGCUAGUCCCUAGAAGUGUCUGAGAACCUUUUUAUGGGCAUUUGAGUGGGCAGGAUGCACACACCGUAGGCAUAUUCAAUAUUAUACACGCAAAACAGGCCCCAUUAACGAGAAGGACAUGAAAAGUCGUUUGUCUCCGAAUGAGACCGAGCAUCUUGUAUGCUUUUGAGACAAUGGAUUCGAAGUUACAUUACCUAUACCGCGUUGCCUAAUCAAUGUUGCUGCUGGGAAUAAUUCGACCGAAAGGCAAGGAAUUCCUGCCGCUAGACUACACAAAUGACAAAUCAACACCUAGUUUAGACCGAUCGUACAGGCUUUUCAUAACGUAGAACAAAGGGUCCGUUUUUUCCAAAAAACCUAAGAACCUUAUGACUUUCUGUUAUCAAAUCUUCAUACCAGUCCUUUCAAUCGUUUGUUACAAGGGGUGGUCCGAUUUCAGAACCGGUAGUGGCGCCGGUCUCCACCCGUCAGGGCCGACAAUAGAAACCUCAAUAGAACCGACAAUAGAAACAAUAGGAAUAGCAAGCCGAGACCUUUCGAGGUUGUAGUGCCAAAGCAAAAGGCAGCAGUUACAUCCUUGUUAAAGUUUUUAUAGUGCACGUCAGACUUAUAGGUAAUACGCAUAAACUCAUAAGAGGAAGAUAAAGCGCUUAAAAGUUUUAAGGACACGAUUCAGGCUUAGAAUGGAGAUGGAACCAGGAGAUGUGUAUACCUGUUACAAAAUCAACCUUACAAAAUAAUAGGGCAGUAGGAUUCUACAUCCCCCAUCCAGACCGCCUCCCCGUACGUAAGGCUGACUACUUUACUACGGGUAAAAUUAAGUCACAGAAAGCCAGAAAUGGCAGGCCGAGACCUCUCGAGCUUGUAGUGCCAAGGAAGAAGAAGAAGAAGGAUUCUACAUAGCGAGUUUAUUCCUGCCCUUAAUAUUGUCCUCAACUCCUUAUAAAACCAAAAGUCAUAAACUGCUCCUUUUCGGCAACUUCAUUUUGCCGAAUAAUGUUGUGAAAUCUUUUCUAGAACCUCGUGAGCGAAGUACUGCUUGCUGGGAAUAGUUAUUUUAAGACAGUUCACGCUGAAGGCAUAUCUUUAACGAUGUAGUGAAAAUGGGUAUCUUCUCAGACACGGCGUUCUGAGUAAUAUGAUCGCAUUGUAAUUGUUUUUCAUGUAUCGUUUAGAAAAAAAGAGAUCCUUCAACAUCGUUAAUAACUUGCAAACGCUUCUUCUUUUCGUGUGUAACUCCUUUUGAAACAGAGUGAGAUUUCAAAUGUUUGUACCUUCAUCGGUGAAUAGAUGUUUUGCUUCAGUGAGAGGAUUAAUUUAAGUGUAAGGAUUAAUUAAUUUAAUACGGGCCUGUAGAGGCGAUACGGCACGACCGGGAUUCAAAUCCCAUCCAGACCGUUCCCCCCGUAGUAAAGACUGACUAUCCAUCUACGUAGUAUCAUUAAGCCUGGUAAGCCAGAAAUGGCAGGCAUGACCUUAAGAGGUAGUUCGGCCAAGAAGAAGGAUUAAUUUCAAUUCGCAUAAAGAAAUGUAGACGAAUGAUGUGGUAGACUGCUUAAGGCUUUCAGAUACAAGGGACUCGUAAAGCAAGUUGGGUAUCCAAAGAAGGAAUGGAAUUACAUAUCUUCAGCAUAACCUUCUCGGCCCAUUCUCGUUCUGGACGAAUUCUGUCAGUCAUCUAGGGCUAGAUAGUCCUAGAAAGAACGACAGAACUACCUUCAACAGCUCAGAAGUUAAGUUCUGUCCAAGCUGUUUUUUUUUCUAAAUUGUCCUGCUUUGCAUGAUGUUUAACUAGUUGCUUGUACAAAGUUAAGCGCAUUAGCACGUGAACACGCAUCCGGGAAUGGCAGGUUGAUAACGUACAUGUUCCAACAUUAUUUUUUCACAUGCUGCAAUAAAAAGAUAAUGAUUUCGCUUAA